GUCCGUGGCCGAGAGGGAAAUAACCCAGACUACCAUCUAAGGUCCCUAAAUCUAUGUUAAGUUGAUCAAACGAAGUUCGAACCCUAAGACAGCCAGGAUGUUGGCUUGGAAGCAGCCAUUCAUUUAAAGAGUGCGUAACAGCUCACUGGUCGAGGGUUCGGGCACGGAAAAUAAUCGGGCAUCAAACAUAGUACCGAAGUUGUAGAUAAAGCCGUAAGGCUAUAUGGUAGGGGAGCAUUCUAAACUGCGUUGAAGGUGUACCGUGAGGUAUGCUGGAGUGUUUAGAAAAGAAAAUGUAGGUAUGAGUAACGAUAAAAGCAGUGAAAAACUGCUUCGCCGAAAGACUAAGGGUUCCUGAUCAACGUUAAUCGGAUCAGGGUUAGUCGGGACCUAAGGCAAACCCGAAAGGGGUAGUCGAUGGAAAGCUGUUUAAUAUUACAGCACUUGUAUUAGUUUCGAUGGGGUGACGGAGAAGUGAAAGAUCCGCGGGGCAACGGAAGUUCCCGUUAAAGGGUGUAGUUAUAUUCCUGGUAGGCAAAUCCGCCGGGAAUGAUGAACCUGAUAGUACUCAAAGGCUUCGGCCGGCGAGAUAGUGAUCCUAAACAUGCUCACGAGAAAAACCUCUAAGGUUAGGCUAAUACAACCCGUACCGUAAACCGACACAGGUAGUCGAGAUGAGUAUUCUAAGGCGCUCGGGUGAGCCGUGGAGAAGGAACUAGGCAAAUUAAUGCUGUAACUUCGGGAUAAAGCAUACCACAGCAAUGUGGUCUCAGUAAAAUGGUUCAACCAACUGUUUAGCAAAAACACAGGGCCCUGCAAAUUCGAAAGAAGACGUAUAGAGCCUGAUACCUGCCCGGUGCUGGAAGGUUAAGGAAGCUUGUCAGGAGUAAUCUGAAGCUUGCGACUGAAGCCCCAGUAAACGGCGGCCGUAACUAUAACGGUCCUAAGGUAGCGAAAUUCCUUGUCGGGUAAGUUCCGACCUGCACGAAUGGUCUAAUGAGUUGAACACUGUCUCCUCCAC
rnacentral:rRNA from 1 species